rnacentral:rRNA from 1 species
GGCUCAGAUUGAACGCUGGCGGCAUGCCUUACACAUGCAAGUCGAACGGUAACAGCACUUCGGUGGCUGACGAGUGGCGAACGGGUGAGUAAUACAUCGGAACGUGCCCGAGAGUGGGGGAUAACGCAGCGAAAGCUGUGCUAAUACCGCAUACGAUCUACGGAUGAAAGCAGGGGACCGCAAGGCCUUGCGCUCAUGGAGCGGCCGAUGGCAGAUUAGGUAGUUGGUGGGAUAAAAAGCUUACCAAGCCGACGAUCUGUAGCUGGUCUGAGAGGACGACCAGCCACACUGGGACUGAGACACGGCCCAGACUCCUACGGGAGGCAGCAGUGGGGAAUUUUGGACAAUGGGCGAAAGCCUGAUCCAGCCAUGCCGCGUGCAGGAUGAAGGCCUUCGGGUUGUAAACUGCUUUUGUACGGAACGAAAAGGUCUUUUCUAAUAAAGAAGGCUCAUGACGGUACCGUAAGAAUAAGCACCGGCUAACUACGUG